GACAGAGGGUGCAAGCGUUGUUCGGAAUCAUUGGGCGUAAAGCGCGCGUAGGCGGCUUUGCAAGUCGGAUGUGAAAGCCCUGGGCUCAACCCAGGAAGUGCAUCCGAAACUGCAUGGCUUGAGUCCCGGAGAGGGUGGUGGAAUUCCGAGUGUAGAGGUGAAAUUCGUAGAUAUUCGGAGGAACACCAGUGGCGAAGGCGACCACCUGGACGAGGACUGACGCUGAGGUGCGAAAGCGUGGGGAGCAAACAGG
rnacentral:rRNA from 1 species